AAAGCUCUUUAUGUAGUGCGCGUGCCACAAAACCAGCAGGCAGUGUGCACGAAACUGGAGAGCCAGAUAC
rnacentral:snoRNA from 17 species